rnacentral:lncRNA from 1 species
CCAGAGUCUGCUAUUAUAAUUGAAGAACCAUUAUAUUUUAAUGUGAUGAUCGCACGUGGAGAGGCAAAACCAUGCAUCCUAUUAAUGUAAGUGAUAUCUUAAUUUCAUGAUUGUUGCUCCAGGAGCUAGUGGAAAAACCAUGCAAUACCGAUUAACCAUGCAAUAUUCUGUUUCCAUAUUGUAGAAAAAUGCUUUGUAGCAGACUUGAUGAACUGUUCCCCGAACAGCACGAAAACAAGCACAAUUAUCUCUAUUGGAUGUGAGAUCUGAGUCUGCCAUGUGAGUGUCAUGGAUUACUUAGUCCCACUGAUUUGAUUAUUUUCCUGGAGAUAAUUAGACAUGGACAGACUUGACAUCGAUUUAACAUAUUUGUGAAACUUAUGAGUUUUACCAGCAAAUGCUUCGUGUUGUGAUGUUAUUAAGUUUUAUCAGAAAGAAAAAAAAAAACUAAAAUAAAAUUGAGGUUAAUUCAUUGAGCAGUGAUCCUUCC